ensembl:lncRNA
GUUUGUGUUUUCAUGUCCAGUUGUGCAGUUAUCAAAGCAGAAAAACUGAUAGAAGAGUUUUAAGUGUAAUAUAUAACUGAAAUAGUGUGGUGUUGAGCCUGCAAAAAUAAAGGGGAAUUGUAAAUAAGGUUCUCCUCUGCUUAACCACUUGCACUGUAGGUUAGUAUAAUAGGUUAUUUUCAGUUUCUACACAGAUUAAGGAUAGUAUAACGUUUUUGUAUAGUCUAAGCCCUUUUAUGGAAUACUGUAUACUGUAACUUGGUUUUCUGACUUCUGUUUGCUUUUAUGUUUUAAAUAUUAUGUGACAUAGUCUUGACAAGUAGUAAGGUCACAGACUUGUGCAAAGCAAAUUUCAGAUGUAUAAAUCUUAAGUAUGUAAGUUGAAAAUCAAAAUUUGUAUAUAGAAAGAAGAAAAAGCAAUUUUAUUGAUCUGGAACUUGCAAGUAAUAUGAAACCUGAAUUUUAUUGAGCUCAUAUACAUGAGUGUAUAGAUCAUAUAUCAAUAAAUGCAGUUGAGACAUUUUAGCCUUCUUAGCAUUGCUUCUGUAUCGUGCUAUUUUUAAAAGAAUUUCACCAGCUUACUCUUUUUGAAGAAUUCGUGAAAUUCCUUUUUUUUUAUGUUUGUACCCACUUUCUUAUGAUAGAAUUGGACUGAUUUUUUUGUUUCUGCUUCUUUUCUGAAAUUGUUUUUUCCAUUCAAUUGAUAGUUUAUUUUAAACUCAUUCACAAUAGAAAUUGAAGAUAUUACUUACUAAUGUGACAUUGGCACAGGCAAACAGAUUAUACCUCUAAAGAACUUGAUAGGCUAAUGACUAGAAUAAUUACUCAGUAUUGUUCUUCAGUAUUAUUCAGAAUAUGCACUUCAAAGGGAGAAUAGCACAUCAGAUUUGAUUCACCAGCAAUAAGCUAAUUGGAAGCAAACAAGGGUUAAUUGAGUCACCAGCACAAUUUUAAUAUUUUCUAACGUCAAUGAAAAAUCCUUGUUUUUCUGGGGUCAUCCACAAAACUAGACUUUAACUCAUUACCAUUUCUUGUCACCCAGUAUACUUUACCCUAAGAAUAUCAAAGGAGGACACUCUUGUUUUGUGUUUAUUAAAUAACUUUCAAAAAAGCACUUCCUGAAAAUGGAAAGAUGGCCAUCACUUAGUAUUUUCAACAUGAUUUUCUUGGCACUGCCUUUUUUUUAUGAUUAUAUAACUUCAAACAUUUACAUUUGCCUUUUUAAUUACAUUUGAUUUUUUAAGGCUGAGAAAUGCAGAGGUGUUUUUUUUUCCUUUAAAUAUUAAAAAGCAAAAUGUUUAAGCAUUUUGUUUUCAUUCAGUUUUGACAUGGAAGAUAUUUUUGUGCAUUUUAGAGAGCCUUAAAAAUCUAAUGUAAUAAGGGAAAUAGGUGAAAAUUUGAAAUUCUUACAUAGUAUAGAAAAAUGUAAAAAAUGUAUAUGUGUAUAUAAAAUAUAUAUACAUAUAUCACAUAUCCUUUUAGUAAACUAUAAAUGCCCUAUAGGUAUCAUUUUGAAUUAUGUUUCUAUUCUUUGGUCUAAGUCUAAAAAGAAAGGAUAACUAUAUAUCAUGUCUUUAAAUUAACUUACUGUGACAUAUUAUUGCCAGGCAAGAGACAGGGAGGGUUACCCAAAUUAUCCAAAGACUAAGCCCUGUUUCAGGAAUUUCAAAUGUAAUCAUCCACAUAUCUUGCCAUAAAAAUUAGUACCUUCUAACUAUUUAAAUCCUAAUCUCCCUGGAACGUGGAAGGUCAUCUAUAAAAAAAGGCAUCAGUUGAUUAUUUGAGGCCACGGGGGUAAUCACCAUUAAAUAAAAGCCACCUGGUUCCUGUGUCUAUUGCUGUGUCUGGUGUGUAACAUUAUACAGAAAUCUGAUUUUGCAGAGCUGGUCAUGUCACACUAAAGAACCACACAUGUGGCUCAGAAAUAUAACUGUUAACUUCCUAUUUACCUAAAGUGCUGCUGUUUUUAAAAACUAACCCUACAUAUUUUUGUGUCACCUAAUGUCAACAGUUGCUUGUCUGUGUUUGGUAUUUAGUUCAUGAUAUUUAGCUAGAUCUAGUAUGAAAACUGUUCCUUUUCUUGGAAUAUCAUUUUACAAAUAAAAGCUGUAUAUACUGUACUGCUAAUGUUUCCAUAAUUUUAAAAAAAAGUAUCCCUUAUCUAAUGCAUAAGUAGCAUAAUCUAGUCCUCUAUUAGUAGACUUCUGGUUAAACAUUUAAUCUUUAAGUGUGGAGAAUUUUAGGGAAAUAUGUGGCAACACAAAAGAUUACAUUGUGUUCAAAUUUGUAAUCCUAAUAUAAAUGAGAUCAGAAGUGUUUGCUGUAUUGGUACUCUCAAAAGGUCUAUUUAAAGUAUAAAAGCUAAGAAUUGUAUGGUUAAUGGUC